GAUGAACGCUAGCGGCAGGCCUAACACAUGCAAGUCAGGGGGUAACAUAGGAAAGCUUGCUUUUCUGAUGACGACCGGCGCACGGGUGCGCAACGCGUAUACAACCUACCUUUUAGCGGGGAAUAGCCCAGGGAAACUUGGAUUAAUGCCCCAUAGUAUAUAGACUUCUCCUGAAGUUUAUAUUAAACAUUUAUGGCUAUUAGAUGGGUAUGCGUCCUAUUAGUUAGUUGGUAAGGUAACGGCUUACCAAGGCAGCGAUAGGUAGGGGUCCUGAGAGGGAGAUCCCCACACUGGUACUGAGACACGGACCAGACUCCUACGGGAGGCAGCAGUGAGGAAUAUUGGACAAUGGGCGAGAGCCUGAUCCAGCCAUGCCGCGUGCAGGAAGACUGCCCUAUGGGUUGUAAACUGCUUUUACAGAGGAAGAACCACCCCCACGUGUGGGGGUUUGACGGUACUCUGCGAAUAAGGAUCGGCUAACUCCGUG
rnacentral:rRNA from 1 species